AGUCCGUUUUCUUGUUGUGAUGGCCGCCGCCAAGGCAGGAGUUGGGGGAUCCUGCCAUUCCGGACGGCUUGGGGGGCUCUCUGUACCGUUAGAGGGCCCCCAACAGCCCCCAGGUUAUCAAGAGCCUGUUAGUUGUGUGCUUGGGAGGUGGGAGAGCGGCCUGACGGGUUAAUUCGAGGGCCUGCUGUCGUUAGAUUGGCCGGGGGUUGGGGGGGGGUUCCUCUGGCGGCUACCGGCUUGAUGAGGGGCCCCAGCCUGCCGGACCCUGGCCGUCUGGCCUUGUGCCUUUGAAAUGGUUAGCGCCUGAGAGUUUUGGAGUCGCCUCUGUUUUGUUGUGGUGUGUGUCCUGCGCCCCUCCCGCGUUUCUUACAGCGCUCCACUCUCCAUGUAGUCGGUGAUGCUCACGACCCUGUUUGGGGUGAGGUUGGGCUCGUUUUCUUGAGUCUGGUGGGAUUUAUGCAAGAGCUGGGAUUUUGGAAAGGGUGGACAGCAGUAGCUUGGGUGUUGUCUCUUGUUUUAGGUGUAAGAAACUGUAUGAGUUGUAAGCCUGUCUGUCGUGAAUGUGUGAUUCCCUUUCUCUUGCAUGUGGUGAACUUUGCCCUUGUUUGCUAAUGCUGUGAGGCAGUGGCAGGCAGUUCCUUCUUGUGAAAUGCUUUUCUGCUAACUUGGAUGUGUUCUUAAAUCUUUGGAGCUCUCAGAAGAGUGUUUUGCAGCUGUCUGUAGAAAGCUGUCUGCAAAAAUGGAUUUAAAACAAAUGCCAGUAUCACAGGUACUACCUUUAGUUCUAGGGAGUAAGCCCCUUUGGCUUCUCUGGUGCUCUGAAGUUGUUUGGGAACUUUUGGAACUGUUUGGGAAUCAGAUUUACUUUUACCUGUGUUACCUGACUCUUGGCUCACAGGGUGCUUCUGCGUGUUGGGACACUUUGAUCUUUGUUAUUGGGUAUUUUCUCAACAUGAGGCAAAAGGAGACACUGUGCACUGACAUGUAACUUCACGUAUUAGCAUCUCCGGAUAACACCAGAUUGCCAAGCAGGUCAGCACCUGCCUUACCUACUGCAAGAACUUGGACCUCACUAUUUCUGCCACCAUGUGUUGGUCCAUAAAUUCUGCCUUAUAGUCUGGUUGUUGUCUAUGUAACUUGAGACCUAACUGGCCAUGAAAAGCCAUUUCUCAGACAAGGUUAUUUAAAAGCUUUCCCCCCCACCCCUAAGUAGAACUGGUGUCUAGAAAGUUCUUUCACUCAAGUUUGGUGAAGUAGGAGAUUUGAAAUAAUGUACAAUAGAUGUUUUGGAAAUCAGCUAUCAGUUUUUAGUUUGGGGGGCAGGCCACGUUACAGAAAUUAUUUAUAGAGAGAGUAAAAAAAAUUAUGUUCCAUUUUUUUCUUGGUAUUUUGGAGCAUCUAAAACCUGUUUCUGUGUCAUUGCAUUGGACCACUUUCAUGUAUCAUUAAAAAGCCGUUUGACGUUUUGUAAUGAAGUAGGAUUUCAUAAUUUUCCUCAUCUGAGUUUGCUUAGUACUUGACUGCUUGAGAGUUUACUAAUGGUAGAAAAAGUAGCAAAGCUGGGUGCGUUUGUGUGUUUCUGCUGAAUGUGAUUUGGGGUAUAAAUUGGUAGACUGAUAUUGUUGGCUUGCUAGUCACGUCAGUUCAAUUCUGCUGCUGAUGUAAAAUGUGUUCUGUAAUACAUAAAGUUCUUUCCUUUCCUCUGACCUGACCCCAAUGUGUCUCAGAAUAUUAGCUAACUUUCCAGUUGAAAAAAGAUUGAGAAACUUACUUUUAAAUGAUCUGUAUUGUCCACAUUUGUUAUGGUUUGGUGAUGCAGUAGAAUAACUGGUGGGUUGAUCUUGUAUCUUAGGAAAACUGGAUGGCUAGAAGUUGUAGAUUUGUAGAAUCAUUCAGAAUCAUUCAAAACCAACCACAAGCACAAUUUGCUUUGAAAGAAGAUACAUUAAUUUUAAAUUGCCAAGUUACCUUUGACUUGCGUUAAGCAGAACAGAUGGUUCAUAAGAAGGUGCUUUGAGAGUGGAUGGGUGUUUAUAAGUUUAGAGAUAAACUCUUCAAUGCAUUUGCAAAGAACCCUUCUGGACAUUUAUGAGUAGACACAUCUCUUGACGAAAUGGUGAGGUUUUACACCCAAGAAUUCUAACAUUUGGCCCCUGAGGCCUUUAUUUUGUACUCUGCUUUCCAUCUCCAUCACUUCAGUUCUGCUGCUGGUAUAAAAUGUGUUUUGUAAUACGUAAAGUCAACAGUAGUUCAGAAAAAAAUAUGGCAAAAUCCACUGCCUUUUGGAGAAGAUGAUCCCUAAGGUUGUGUGUUGGAUAGGUAUGUCAAAAGCUGUCUUUUUGAAACUUAGGCUUUGCAUGGUUUUGAUGAAACUCCUUUCAAUGAGACAUAAGCCAAAGGGUAAGUUUCUUGACCUAGGUGUUAUAAGUGAAAGCCUUUGGUUCUGGUGUUCAUUCAAAAAAGAGAUACAAACUUAGUUCCAGAUAACAGGCAUACUGUGUUUUACUGUGCUUCACUUUAUUGCACUUAGCAGCUUUGGCGGGUUUUUGUUUGUUUGUUUGUUUGUUUUAAUGUAUUUAUUUAUUUUUGGCUGCAUUGGGUUGUCGUUGCUGCGAGCAGGCUUUCUCUAGUUGUGGCGAGUGGGGGCUACUUCUCAUUGUGGUGCACGUGCUUCUCAUUUUGGUGGCUUCUCUUAUUGUGGAGCACGGGCUCCAGGUGUGUGGGCUUCAGUAGUUGUGGCACAUGGGCUCUAGAGCACGGGCUGUAGAGCACAGGCUCAGUAGUUGUGACGCACAGGCUUAGUUGUUCUGUGGCAUGUGGGAUCUUCCUGGACUAGGGCUUGAACCCGUGUCUCGUGCAUUGACAGGUGGAUUCUUAACCACUGCACCACCAGGGAAGUCCAGUACCAUUUUUCUAAUAGCAUUUGCUUACUUUGUGUCUUUGUGUCACCUUUUUGUAAUUCAAAUAAUAUUUCAAACUUUUUCAUUAUUGUUAUAUUUUUUAUGGUGAUCUGUGAUCAGUGAUCUUCGAUGUUACUGCUCUGACUUGCUGAAGGCUCAGAUGAGGGUUAGCAUUUUUUGGCAAUAAUUUUUUUUUUUUGCCUUGCCUCUCAGCAUGCGGGAUCUCAGUUCCCUGACCAGGGAUCGAACCCACACCCCCUGCAGUGGAAGUGUUGAGUCUUAACCACUGGACCACCAGGAAAGUCCCAAUAAAAUAUUUUUUAGUUGAGGUCUGUACAUUAUUUUUUAGACAUAAUGCUAUUGCACACUUAAUGGACUACAGUGUAGUGUAAACAGUACUUUUAUAUGCACUGAGAAACCAAAAAAUUUGCAUGACUUGCUUUAUUGCAAUAUUCGCUUUAUCACGGUGGCCUGGAACCGAACCUGCAAUAUCUCCAAGGUACGUGGUAAUAGAAUUCGGAAGAUAACAAAAAAUUAAGUUUUUAUUUUAGAUUGUAGCCAAAAUUUGGAAACACUUGUGGGGGUGGGGGUAGGAAUAUCUAUUUGAGGCUUUUUCUCGAGUCCUUUCUAUUCCAUUUCCCUUUGCUGAAAGUAAGCAUCUCUUAUUAAUGUGUUUCUGCAUCUGUGAACAUUUGUGAGUGGCAAAACUGCAUGUACAAGGCAACAAAUCACCCAUCCAGAAUUUGGCCCUGAUUUUUCAUUUACAUUAUUUGAAGAGGAAGAGUUAUUGAUUGUACUUUGUGCACUUGUAUGUGUAUUUUGUUUUCUUCUGUUAAAUACAUUUGUUUUUAGAUUGCGAUACUCUUGAACACACAGUGUGUCUCCACCCCUCACCUCCACCUUCCUGGGAGAAAGAGGAAAGUUCCCCGACCAGGGGUCGAACCCACGCCCCCUGCACUGGAAGCACAGAGUCUUAACCACUGGACCACCAGGGAAGUCCCUGAAUUUUUAAUAUAAUGGGAUUAAUUUAAAGAUAUCUGUGAAAUGGUUUAUUCUUUGAGAAGAUCCUAUAACAUAUAUCAUUAAUUUUUUGAGAUAUAUAGAUUUCAGUAAUUUUUUCAUCCUAACAAAAGACUUUUAGAAGGAAACAGUGAAGUAAAUGAAACUGUCUUAUAUUCUUCUACCUGAGGAGGAAAACUUGGAAAAAACAUAAUUUUUAUAAAUGAAAAGUUUUGAGAUAUGUAAUAUAAAAAGUUUUUAUAAAUCAGGAAAAGAUGGAAGGGCUAAGCCAUGGUUUGACAACUCACAAAAGAAAAAAAAUCAAUAAUGUGGCAGACUGUUUUCCAAAGUUGGCCACAACAAUAUCUCCCAGCUCACAUGUUCUUCUACAAUGUGAUGUUACUCUGUCAUCAGAAGGUGGCAUCUCUCCACUUUCUUGAAUUUGGGCAGGGCCUUUGAGUGCUUCAACCAAGAGAAUACGGUAGAAGUGAUGGUGUCCGAAUUCCAGGUGUGGCUUUUACCUUGCCUGACUUCUGUUUCCUGCCUCUUGGAAGCCAGCCACUACAUAAGAAAUCCAUUUACCCUGAAAUCACCAUGUUGUGAGAAGUCCAAGGUCAUAAAAAUAGGCCCUGGAGACUGAGACAUCAAGUAGAGAAGCCAAGGAGCACCAAGGAAACUGAAGAAGUGAAGUGUAAGUGAAGUCAUUUUGGAAGUGGACCUUCCAGCCCCAGCUGCCUUGGCUAUUGCUGUGUAAAUCAGGGGAAACGCCCAGUGGAGCCCCUCCCAAUUUUUGACCCAAAAAUAUCAUGAGCAAAAUAAAAUGUUUGUUUU